CCUGGAGGAUCAGCAAAGACAAGACCCUGGACCUCCAGGUGCUUCUGCUUGAGGACCUGGUGGUACUGCUGCAGAGACAAGAGGAGCGGCUGCUGCUAAAGUGCCACAGCAAGACAGCCGUGGGCUCCUCCGACAGCAAGCAGACGUUCAGCCCUGUGCUGAAGCUCAAUGCUGUGCUCAUCCGCUCCGUGGCUACAGGUACUCAUGAGGAGAUGAGCCAGCAAGCCUGGCUGAUAGAGGCCCAUUCUGGGGCUUCACAAGGCUUAAUAUCCUCCUGUGUUUCCUCCUGUGUUCCUGUCUUGACCCAGUCUAAGCAGGAAGCUUUGGUCCAGGACGGGCAGGCUAAGGGGUAGAUAAUGGACUAAGAGG
rnacentral:lncRNA from 1 species